ensembl:lincRNA RIKEN cDNA D330050G23 gene
AGGUCUGUCCCUGUCCACAGCCCACUUCCGACUGCGGGAAUCAGAAAUCACUGGUUCAGUCUGUACUGAUCCUGGGACUACAGCGUACCCUCACUAGAAGAUGGCAUGUGUGAAAUCCUGAACCAGAGUCCAAAGCCUGUGGGAGAUGAGGUGGCUCGCAGAUCCUUCCAGAAAUGCCAUGUGCCACUAAACUGUCCAUCUGCACUAAACUGCCUACUUGGUGACCAUAUGGACUGUGCUUCGUUUGAUACUGAAUCUUCAGAGCCUGCAGUAAUGUCUGGCAGACGAUUGUCACUCCAUAAAUGCAUUUGGAAAAGCACACACGCAUGCUUACCUAAUUAAAAUCUUCAUGAGCAUGACGGUAACUUUCAUAAGAAGGUUCCCACUCGGUUUAUCAUUUGAGACCAUGUAACCAGGAUUGUUAACCUCUAGAAAUGAAGUUCUCACAGAUAUUCCCUCAGUAAAAGAAUCUUAGGUAACCUCCUACCAGCCUUCGUGUCCACCCACCAGAAAAUACAUCCAUCCCACUAAGAUGGUACAAGCAUGGGUCCUAGCUUUGUCAUGUCUUGGCUUCCACAACCUUUUCUCUAACUACCUUAGCCUGCCAUCCACAGUCUGCAGGUAGUCACCUUUGAUAUAGACUGCCCUGUGUUAUUUCUUUCUAAGCAUGUCAUUGCUGUCAGGAUUUCCACACCUACAUAUCCCAAGGGAAUAGGGACAGGAUUUUACCUUUAAUACAUGUUAUAAUGAUUUUCAUGUACUAGACCUUCAGUGAACACUUUUUUUUGGAGAAAAAGAAAAUUUAAAUAAAGAGUGUUUGGGAAGGACAUUAUUAAAUCGUAAGUUAAGAUGCUGGAGAGAUGGCGCAGUGGUUAGGAGCACUGGCUGCUCUUCUAGAGGAGCUGUGUUGGUUCCCACCCCACCCCCCACUUAGUAACUAACAACCAUUCAAACUCCAGCCCCAGGGAAUCUCACAUACUCUUCAGGCCUCUGUAGACCCCAGGCAUGUAGGUAGUGUGCAUAAAUACAUUUAAACAAGAUAAUUAUAUACAUAAAAUAAAAGUAUUUUUUAAUAAAAAGAUGGUUGACUUCUCGUCCCAGGUCAACCAACUCAACAUUGUUCUUCACUUUUCCAUUGGCAAACUGGGAACAAAGCAGACCCAUUACAGACACUCGAACACACACUUGAGUUUUGUGGUGAUAAUGAGUUAUGUGUGUUUAGUAUAAUCGUUUGCCUAUGCAUUUAUCAGAAGCAGCUCAAAUUCUCAAGCUCAUAGGUAGCAGGCUAGUCAAGUGAUUUCAAGAGCUCAGAAGCAAGUCACUAGCUGCUGACUAAUCCCGCCUGUGUAAGACUCAUCUGUUGGAAUCUGCCCUCUGAGUUAUGCCAGCCUAGGGCACCCGGGCUGAUGGUGGUGUUAUAAUCAGUCAUUUAAAAAGAAAAAUACAUCUACCUAUGCAGACUCAGUUCUUUCACAGAUUAAUUUCUCCGUUAAUAUCUUAAAUUAUAAGUAUUUUAGAAGAAAGGAUAAUCACACAGGUUCUGUUUGUGGAGUCAUUUUUCUGAAGAAAAAAAAUAAACACAGUCAAGGUCAUUG